GGCUGCUGCUGGCCUCCUCAUUUGAGGGGUGUAAUGUGCACGCUUGUCAUCUUUAUCAUCUCUCCAACUGUGCACAUAUUGUAGACCUGGAAGAAAGCUUUUGAAUUCAUUUUCGAGUUGGGACUGCUGUGCUUCUGAUCAAAGUCGGCUUUGCCUUGAAAUUUCCAGGUCUAUGUCAUUUUCACAACCUCUUCAUAUGUUUAGAAUGUUGAACCAUAUAAAAAAAUAUACAACUUUCAGCAACGGAUCUCUUGGCUCUCGCAUCGAUGAAGAACGCAGCGAAAUGCGAUAAGUAAUGUGAAUUGCAGAAUUCAGUGAAUCAUCGAAUCUUUGAACGCAUCUUGCGCUCCUUGGUAUUCCGAGGAGCAUGCCUGUUUGAGUGUCAUUUAACUUCUCUCAACUGCAUCACUCAGUCUGAUGUGGCUUGGAUGUGGGGCUUGCAGGCUUUGAAUGAAGUCUGCUCCCCUGAAAUGAAUUAGUGGUAUCUGAGCUGCCAAUAGGUGUGAUAAUUAUCUACUCCUUUUGGUCAUGCUGGUUG
rnacentral:rRNA from 1 species